rnacentral:rRNA from 1 species
UACGGAGGGGGCUAGCGUUGUUCGGAAUUACUGGGCGUAAAGCGCACGUAGGCGGCUUUGUAAGUUAGAGGUGAAAGCCCGGAGCUCAACUCCGGAAUUGCCUUUAAGACUGCAUCGCUAGAAUUGUGGAGAGGUGAGUGGAAUUCCGAGUGUAGAGGUGAAAUUCGUAGAUAUUCGGAAGAACACCAGUGGCGAAGGCGACUCACUGGACGCAUAUUGACGCUGAGGUGCGAAAGCGUGGGGAGCAAACAGG